rnacentral:rRNA from 1 species
AACGGCCGUACCAUGCUGAAUAUACCGGUUCUCGUUAGAUCACCGAAGUUAAGCAUCAUUAGGCGCGGUCAGUACUUGGGUGGGUGACCACCUGGGAACACUGCGUGCCGUUG